rnacentral:rRNA from 1 species
AGAGUUUGAUCCUGGCUCAGGACGAACGCUGGCGGCGCGCCUAAUACAUGCAAGUCGAGCGAGAAGGUGUAGCAAUACACUUGUAAAGCGGCGAACGGGUGAGGAAUGCAUGGGUAACCUACCCUCGAGUGGGGAAUAACUAGCCGAAAGGUUAGCUAAUACCGCAUACGUUUCCGGGACUUCGGUUCCGGAAAGAAAGCAAUACCGUGGGUAUUGCGCUCAUGGAUGGGCUCAUGUCCUAUCAGCUUGUUGGUGAGGUAACGGCUCACCAAGGCUUCGACGGGUAGCUGGUCUGAGAGGACGAUCAGCCACACUGGCACUGCGACACGGGCCAGACUCCUACGGGAGGCAGCAGUAAGGAAUAUUGCGCAAUGGACGAAAGUCUGACGCAGCGACGCCGCGUGGGGGAUGAAGGUCUUCGGAUUGUAAACCCCUUUCGGGAGGGAAGAUGGAGUGGGUAACCACUUGGACGGUACCUCCAGAAGCAGCCACGGCUAACUUCGUGCCAGCAGCCGCGGUAAUACGAAGGUGGCAAGCGUUGUUCGGAUUCACUGGGCGUACAGGGAGCGUAGGCGGUUGGGUAAGCCCUCCGUGAAAUCUCCGGGCCUAACCCGGAAAGUGCAGAGGGGACUGCUCAGCUAGAGGAUGGGAGAGGAGCGCGGAAUUCCCGGUGUAGCGGUGAAAUGCGUAGAGAUCGGGAGGAAGGCCGGUGGCGAAGGCGGCGCUCUGGAACAUUUCUGACGCUGAGGCUCGAAAGCGUGGGGAGCAAACAGGAUUAGAUACCCCGGUAGUCCAA